GGGCAAGACGCACUACAUGGGUGAGAAAUCUUCAUGAAAUAUCUUUCUGAAUGAAAUAUAGUAAGAAAAGGCAUGUCUACAUGUGAGACAUCUCUUUGGGGCAGGAUAGAUGCCACAAAGAAAACACUGUACCCCGGUGUGAAAAAUAAAUACUAUACGUUUCCUCUACUAUUAAAGUUGCAAUAAAAAUGAAAAGGAAAAAUAAGGAAACCUCAUUAUUAAACACAAGUUUUUAAAAAGUAGGAACUGCAUUUAUACUCAGAGUUUGUCUUACUUUGAAAGUUUUCUGUUUGAAUGGUAUGUUUCCAUCCUGUGUUAGAUUAAGCCUGAGAAUUCAGACCAUGUUGGUAACUCUAGAAAUAUGUAUAGAUAACUCUGAAAAUGGAAACUAUUUCUGUGCUUAGAAGAAAUUCUGUGGGAGUGAAUGUGUUCACAGCUUCCAGGCCAGGAAGACUGACCCUUCCAGAUCUUUAAAAGGUUGCAGAAAGACUGUAAAAAUCAAAUCAAACAAAAAUAGAUCGAGACUUACAGUAAAGCUGCUCUGAAAAGAAGCUGAAAGACUAAAGCCUGGUGGGUGAACAUACAUGCAUGCACAAGAAAAGGCAUUUAAAAAGUACAUUACAAACUUAAUAUGACAGUAUUUACUUUUUCUCUCUCCGUCUCAUUUCCAGCUCAUUCUUAUCAGAGUCCUGUCAGUCCCAAAACUGACAUUUUCCUGUCCUGAUCAUUCCUGAGAUAGUGGACAGGGAUUUUUUUUUAUUAGGUUGAUGCAAACAGCAGAUGAUCCUACAGAGGAACGUCAAGGACAGUUUGGAGUCCUAAUCCCUGACCCUCCUGCCCUUUCCUAACUAGCUAUUGACAUUGAACUUAAAAAGCUUCAAUGGCGAGACGAGAUAAUGAAUUCUGUUUGCUUUUAGUGCAAAAAGGGAAGAGGUCCAGAGUGGGAGAAAUGCAACAGCUCUCGCAGGAAAGGUUCUGCUAAUGUGUUAGUAUAACUUAAAUCUUCUUAGACCUGAAACCUGUUUAGCAAUAAAUAAAAUUCAGGAAAAGUAGAUGUUGUUCUCCUGGAAUAUAUGUUGGUGGGAGGGAGAAUAUUAUUUAGAAUAAGAUGUUCUAACUUUUUUGACACCCCAACUGAUAAACUUGGCAGAAUUUCAUCCUGAUUAUCUCAUGAGAAAUAUUCUGGGCUGAAAAACUCAUUAGUUCUCUAUAUUACAUUCUCUAUAUUCCUGCAUGUUGGUUUGAUUUUUUCAUUCUAUUUUUUUUUCUUCCCUUUCUUUGCCUGUUUUUCUCAUUGAGACAAGACCUCCAUAAAAAUCUCUUACUAUAAUGGACCAUUUCUGAUAAACACAGGAAGCACUGAUUUCUUACUGCUCAGCAGUUUAGCAGGAAUACCUUUCCACUCAAUGGGUAGAUAGUCUGAGGAACAGGAGGUUACUAAGAUCAAAUAUUUCAGUAAAUAAUGACCAAUCUAGGGUUAUAAAAGUAAAUCAAACCAAGAAUUUUGGGGACAAAACCCCUCAACACUAGUUUAACCCUGCUGGGGAUUAGCAUAACAUUUGCAUGGAGGCAGAUUAUACCACCUCUCUCUGCUGUACAAUCUUUGCCCCCUUUUUUUAAGGCCAUGUGAAUUAGGAUGGUAAUAUGGUCCCUUAUUCCUACAGGUUUUGUUUUCAGUCCUGGAGGUCUUUCCUCCCGACUGUCCGUCUCUCCGGGAGUCGCAGAAUGACAGCAGAAAAGAGGUGCUCAUUUGUGAGCACUGGCAGAGGUCAAGUCAAGGCUAAUGCUGCAAUGAGUUUAGGAAAAACUUGGUUUAAGCAAAACUGGAGAGCAUUAAUUCACCUGUCAUUUAUUUAAGGCAUACGAAGAAGGGAAGGCUCGGCUGCGGCAGGGAGCCAGUAUCAGUCGGGGUGAGCCAGAGGAAAGGCGUGACAGUUUCACAUGUUGGCCGCUCUCCUUCCGGCGGGCGCUUGGCAGGCGCACCCCUGUCUUCAGCCUCCUCUUUCUGAGGAUGACGACUCAUACGUACUGGCUACUCAGAAUCAGGCACCUGGAAGUUCGUUGCAAAGGGCACGCUGAGAAUUACGCUACAAAUCACCAUGACCAAGGAUGAAAAGAGUCCCCUCCAGAGCUGGGCUCAGCACCUCUGCGAUGUCCUCCUUUGCAUUCAGCCACAGGCCUCUCUCUCCGAGGGGAAGCGGUGCUGGGGAGAGGUGGAAACAGAAGCCAGGAACCACAGAGAGGGAUUCUGGUAUCAAACAUUCAACCUUCUGACCUCCGUCUUUGGACCCUUGGCUGGCAACAGCGUAUGUGAAUUAUCUAGAUGUCAGACACAGGAACAGUUUUCUGAAUUCAUUAAAAAGGUCUGCUCA